rnacentral:rRNA from 2 species
UUAGAGUUUGAUCCUAGCUCAGGAUGAACGCUGGCGGCGUGGAUAAGGCAUGCAAGUCGAACGGAAAUUUUAUCGUCAAAGAUUGAGAUUAUAUCAAGGUCAAUGAUAUCAAAAUUUUAGUGGCGAACGAGGUAGUAAUACGCAGGAACUUCCCCCGAAGUCGUGAAUAAUCUAUCGAAAGGUAGACUAAUACACGAUAGUCUCGCAAGAGUAAAGUUUUAACGCUUCGGGAAAGGCCUGUGCGAUAUCAGCUAGUUGGUAGUGUAAUGGACUACCAAGGCUAUGACGUCUAGGGGAGGUGAGAGCCUGACCCCCACCGAUGGUACUGAGACACGGACCAUACACCUACGGGUGGCUGCAGUCGAGAAUCUUCCACAAUGGACGAAAGUCUGAUGGAGCGA